rnacentral:piRNA from 1 species
CAGUAACACUUUUAAAAGAUUCUAAUGGGA